GACGAACGCUGGCGGCGUGCUUAACACAUGCAAGUCGAACGAAGAGCGAUGGAAGCUUGCUUCCAUCAAUUUUAGUGGCGAACGGGUGAGUAACGCGUAAUCCACCUGCCUUUCAGAGGGGGACAACAGUUGGAAACGACUGCUAAUACCGCAUACGAUCUAAUCUCGGCAUCGAGGAUAGAUGAAAGGUGGUCUCUACAUGUAAGCUAUCACUGAAGGAGGGGAUUGCGUCUGAUUAGCUAGCUGGGGGGGGAACCGCCCACCCAAGCGAUGAUCAGUAGCCGGUCUGAGAGGAUGAACGGGCACACUGGGACUGAGACACGGCCCAGACUCCUACGGGGGGGAGCAGUGGGGAAUCUUCCGCAAUGGACGAAAGUCUGACGGAGCAACGCCGCGUGAGUGAUGACGGCCUUCGGGUUGUAAAGCUCUGUUAAUCGGGACGAAAGGCCUUCUUGCGAAUAGUGAGAAGGAUUGACGGUACCGGAAUAGAAAGCCACGGCUAACUACGUG
rnacentral:rRNA from 1 species